AAGGAGUUAGUUAAAAUAUAACAUUAGAGUGUCAAUCUAAAAUAACUAAAAUUAGUACACCUUG
rnacentral:tRNA from 3 species